AAGAGACUGUACAAAAACCUGAACACAGAUAUCUGACUCCUCUUCAAAGAGGAGGGAAGUGGUAUUCAAACCACAGCUUCAUAUCAGAUGGAUUCUGCUAAUUCCUCUUUUAUCAGAGUCACUGUGGUUACAGCUGCUACAACAUACAGUGAUAUGAGAGGAGGAACAGGCUGAGGGAGGAGCAACACUGUCAAAGAGCAGGACAGACAACAACUCCCACUGUCAGAUGCAUUCAAUAUCUAAAGCAUACAUAACACAGAUACUGUGUGUAAGAUGCUCUCACUGCUUUACUGUGGAAUGUUUCCUUUGGUUCUCAUCAUACUAAAAGGUGUCAGCUGUGAACAACUGACUCCAGUCAAGGAUGAAGAGUUCAGUUCAGAAGGCAGCUCUGUUACUCUGUCCUACACAUACUCCAAAAAAGCUGCUAGUAAUGAUAAUUUCUUCUGGUAUCGACAACAUCCAGGAAAACCACCACAGUUCCUCAUCUCUCAUCUGGCAUCAGGACAACUAUCAUCAGAUCCAGUCUCUGGACUGACUGUUACUGUGAGUCGGGAUCAAACCCAAAUGGAUCUGCAGAUCUCCUCUGCUGCAGUGACAGACUCUGCUGUGUACUACUGUGCUGUGAGGCCCACAGUGACAGGAAACAGCACAACUCUGUACAAAAACACAAGCUGACUCACUGACAAGCUGCUGGAAGCCUUUUUUCCGACAAAGUGCUGAACUCAA